rnacentral:rRNA from 1 species
UGUGUAGGCGGAAAUGUAAGCGUUGCGUGAAAGCCCCCGGCUUAACCGGGGAACUGCGCAACGAACUGCGUUUCUUGAGGCAAGUAGGGGUACAUGGAACUCUUGGUGGAGCGGUGGAAUGCGUAGAUAUCAAGAGGAACGCCAGUGGAGAAAUCGGUGUACUGGGCUUGUACUGACGCUGAGACACGAAAGCGUGGGGAGCGAACAGGAUUAGAUACCCUGGUAGUCC